UUCCGGAUUUUUUUUUUUUUAUAUUUGUCCGGGAUUGGUUUUGUUUUGUAUGUUACAAAAAGCUCCCAGCACGUUCACGGCAUGGUACCCGUACUCAUGCAUUUUGACUUCCAACUUUCCACAACUUCAUGGCACCAAAGUUAUUUUACCCUCCCUGGAGGUUGUCUCUCUGCCAUUAAAAGUAAAGAAACAUA